rnacentral:rRNA from 1 species
AACUCCAAGAAUACGAGGAGGAGGUGGCCCGGGUCUGCGUUGGCGCCGUCCAGCGCGGGCCACGGGCCCGCUUCCAAGUGCGUCUGCACGCCAGCCACCCAUGCCGGGUCCUUCAAGUGCCGCUUUCACCGCAUCAACUCCCAGGGCCACGGCCACGGCCAGGACCAAGGAAGCCGCCCUUCUUCGCCCCCUUCACCGGCCGCGGCCAACGUGGUGCCGCGGCACCCGGCCUCGACGUCCUCGCAACCCAGUGACGCAGCCCAAGCAUCGGCCUCGAGAAUCAAGAACGCUCGACAACGGAGAGUGAAGGGAAAGAUCAUAUACAUGUCAUAA